UUCCUUGGUUUUUUUUUCACAAAAUGACUUAUGUAAACCGUGUAUGGAUGGCUGCCGGCGUAGCUGUUGUAAAUGGACAUACAGAUCAAAGCUACAAACUUAAAUCCCUUCUCAUCAACUCCUUCCGCCAUGGCAAGAAGGCUUUCACCUCCGAUCUCCGUCCACUUUCCGGCCUUCUAAUAUCAGACGUCAGUGUCGGAGACAAGAAGACAACACAGUCCGAUGAGUCUCUCCGGCAAGUCAUGUACUUUAACUGCUGGGGCCAAAGCUGAAGAUUGGUUUGUGUUGAGUGUUUGGGAGGCUUUCUCGACGGAUGAGGAAUCGAUGAUGCGAGUUAACUCCUGGUGGGGAUGUGGGAGUGAGGGUGUGAUUUCAUGAAAGAAGAGGGCUACAAUUUGUAAAUAUAUAUGGAAUUGAAACUAACACAAUGUAUCAAGUAAAUGGCAGUUUUUUUUAUGGAAUAUAUAAUGUAGCUUCCUUUCUUUCGGUAAAUUAUAUUUUUUGUCAUGUGCUUGUUGAUUUUUAUGAUCGAGCAAACUUAGUUAGAAUCUUAAAGAUACUAUAAAUAUAAAUAAAAGAAGAUUAUAACCAAAAAAUAAUAUAAAUAAAUGUGAUUCGACAUGCCGAAUUAGACCCUCGUAUAUAUAAAUACGAUUGAUCAUUAUAUGCCUUUUAGGACAAAUGUUGGAAUUAAGAAAAAAUUGCCCCUUUCUUAAACCAUAAAACAUUUUUGUGUUGCUUACUUUCUUUUUGCAUCAACGAAUAUAGGAAUAACGUGUGUGACAUAUUCGAAUGUUUCUCUCUUCCAUCUCGAUUGUGUUCUUCCAUACAUUCACCAUAUUUCCAAAAGGACCAAAACUUAUCAUUAAAUUCAACGAUUGAUCACUCUAUUAGUAACUAGUUUAUAACCCGUGGGAACCAUGGUUACAAAAUUAAUUAAAAUUUUAUAGUAAAAAAUCAAAAUUAUUAAUUAAUUAUUCUAAAUAAAUUAUUAAUUAAGAGUUUUUUUAGUUAUAUAAAUUUUAAUCAUUGAUUUAAAUAAAUAUGUGAAAUUAUAUCAUUUGUAUUAUUUUUAUUUUAAUUUUUAUUCUAAUGUUAUUAAUUUAAUGUAAUUAAAGUGAAAAAUUUAAAAUUUGAAAUUUGAAAUGGAGUUGACAAGUGGCAUACAUUAAUUAGGAGACAUAAUAAGGUGACACAUGACAAAAGAAAAUAAAAUAUGCAUUAAUUAAUAGGCCUAAUAGGAUGACACAUAUCAAAAGGAGAAUAAAACUAUUCUUUUAUUAGAAUAGGGAUUCACUACCAAGUUACAUACUGACAUAAUUCCUCUUACAGGUGAAUGAUCGUUUACUUCACCCUCAAUCGUGUUGGAAGAUAUAAGCUAGCCAAGGACAAUUUGGUAUUUAUCUAUUUAUAAACAGUAAUUACUAGUAUGUAUUAGUUAUUAGUUGUGAAACUUACGUAUUACAUGAGUUAAUUUAAAAAAAAAAAGUUAAAUAAAAUGUCAAAAUAUUUGAUAACUUUGAAUUUAUAAGAAAAUAAGAAAAAUAAUGAAUUAUUAUAAUGCAAAUGUUUUUUGUCUUUUAAAUUUAAACAAAUAAUUUAAAUAAAAAAAAGAAACUAAUGAAUUUUAAUUUUUGGAAUUUUGAAUUUAAAAUGUAAGUUUAUUAAUAAAAUUGAUAUUCAUUUAUUAUUAUAUUUAUUGCAAUUAUUACAUUAAAAUAUAAUUUGGAAUUUAAUAAAAUAGAGAAACUCAUAAAAUGACAUGUGGAAAAAAUUAAUUUAAAAUAACCAUAAAAUGACAUUUGGCAAAUUAAAUGAGAGUACGACAAAUAGCAAAAAAAAAAACUUACAUUUAUUAGAGAAUAUUCCCUAUAUAUAGCAGUUACUAGGUUUGUAUCGUUGUCAUUGCAAAGGUGCCUUGAAAGGGUACUUUCUCAAAAUAUUGCAACGGUUAUCAUGUUCAUAUUCUAAUAAAUGAAUAGUUUUAAUCUUCUUUUGCCAAGUGUCAUGUUAAUACAACUUCUCAUUAAUAUUAUGUCAUGUCUCAUGUAGAUAUAUUAGGUAACUCAUUUUAAAAUUCAAAUUUAUAUUUUCUAAUUACAUGUUAAAUUUGAUGUUAUAAUAACUUUAAAAUUUAAUAUAUCUCUUAACUAAUAAUUUAUUUAAAAUGACUUAUUUAAAAUAACUGAUUAAUAAUUAUAAUUAUUUAUUAUAAAAGUUUAAUUAAUCUUAUAACUGUGAUUCUCACGGGUUAUAAACUAAUAUGUAUAUAUAUAUGUUAUCCUUGUAUCAGAAAACGGUUGAUUGAAGUUAAUAAAAAAGAUAGUUUGUAUACGUUUCUCUGUUGCAAAGAAAAUCCACUGCGGUUUUGAUCCAACAAAUCGUUGGUAUGUCGAUAUCCAACUAUCUUCUACAAUUUAUAUUUAUAAUAUAUCAAUGACAGGAUUUUUCAGCCAAAGAGGGGACAUGAGAACACUCAGAUAAUUGGAUGAGAUCAUAUAAUUAAGGUGUUUUAAGAAUCAAUUUACUAGAUAUAGUGUGGAUCAACUUUUACGACCAGUUACUCUAAAAUAACAAAAUGUAAAGGAUGUAUUUUUGAUAAACAAAAAAUAGUUUGGUGGUUAGGUUUGUUUAUUAUUUGGAUAAAUCCGUAUUAUUUAAUUACACAAUUAAUCGGGCUAUAUGAUUUGGUUAUUUGAAUUUAUGAAUUGAUUUAGAUUAAAACUAAACAAUUAUUUUGAAUUUCAUAUAGUGUUUUCAUAACUAAAAUAAGACCCCGAUACUAUAUUUGUUUUUUAAAUAUAUUAGAAGAACUACCAAAUAAAAAAUCUCAAUAUAUGUAUUCUUUUUUCUCUAGCGUUUUUGUAUGUAUCAUAAUAAAUUAUAUUGUUAUUUUUAGGGGUGUAAACGAGCCGAGUCGAUCGAGUCAAAUACUACCAAGCUCGAAGCUCGGCUCGACUAAAAUACUCGAGCUCGAAACUCGGCUUGAACUCGACUCGAGCCUUGAUUUUAAGCUCGAGCUCGGGCUCGUGAAAUACUCAAUAGUCUCGAGCUCGGCUCGGCUCGACUCGACUAGUAUUUAAAAAAAAUAAAACUCGCUAAAUUGAGUAAGAAAUAUUAAACAUUCCACAUGUAAUGUCUAAACUACCAAAAAAACCACUAUUAAUCACUGAAUAUCAAUAUAACAUCAACAAUAUAUAUCAUAAAUGAAUAAUUAUAAAGAAAUGAUAUAUAUUUUAUAAAUGAACAAUUAUAAAGAAAUGACAUAUAUUUAAAUUACACUAAGCUCGCGAGCCUUACGAGCUGAGUAUUUUUGUACUUGAGCUCAGCUCGAUAAGGUACUCGAGUAGCUCGAGCUCGAGCUCGGCUCGAUUAAGGUCGAGUCGAUUUCGAAUAUUUUCCAAGUCAGUCUUGAGUUUCUCGCGAGUUGGCUUGUCUCACUUACACCUUUAGUUAUUUCAAACUAAAUGAUUUAUUUUUAUUUGUUUAUUAGUAGAUUUUACGAAGAAGACGACAAGGAAUCAGUAUAUAUUUAAAUGUGAAUUUAAAUAAUUAUAUUUUUAAAAUUGACAACUCAAACUCAUUAAUAUUCUAAGUUAUCUAAAUUUAAAAGGAUCUGUUUAAAAAUCAAAUUAUGAAAACCGAUCAAUCUGAAUAUUAUCGAUUCGAUCAGAUAGUUUAAUUUUCACUAUUUAAAUUCGAAUGCGAAUCACUUUAGAUUCCGAUCGGAUCCGAUUCGUUCAAAUGAACUCUUUUAUUUUGAGAGAAAGAGCAAAAGCGCAGCAGACCUACGUCGAUGUCAACACACGUGUCUUAAUGUUAUCCGAAGUCCAUACUCUAAAGAGACAGAUGUUAUGCAAUUGGUGCGUAUUCCUGUACAUGGAAGUAUUCUACGUGCCCCCCAUACAUGAAACCCAAGGAACCCGUUGGCUACUUAUCUCAUGACUCACCACUUUUUCAUCAUUCCAAGAUGGCCAGAUGAAGGAACCUCAAUUAAAAAAUAAAUAAAUAAAUAAGCAACACAUGACUCCAACUUUAUAAAUAUAUCCCUUCCCUCUAUCAUUUCUUCAUCUCAUUACAAAAUCGCAACACUACGCCUCUACAACUCAUAAACCAGAAUUCCUAGUUUCUCACUCACAAAAUGGCUUCUGUAAACCGUAUUUGGAUGGCCGCCGGCGUAGCUGUUGUAAAUGGACAUACAGAUCAAGGCUACAAACUUAAAUCCCUCCUCAUCAACUCCUUCCGACAUGGCAAGAAGGCUUUCACCUCCGAUCUCCGUCCACUUUCCGGCCUUCUAAUAUCAGACGUCAGUGUCGGAGAUAAGAAGACAACACAGUCCGAUGAGUCUCUCCGGCAAGUCAUGUACUUGAACUGCUGGGGCCAAAGUUGAAGAUUAGUUUGUGAGUGAAACGUAAAAAUGGAAUUGGAAGCUUUCUCGACGGAUGAGGAAUCGAUGAUGCGAG
rnacentral:lncRNA from 1 species